UACGUAGGUGGCAAGCGUUGUCCGGAUUUACUGGGCGUAAAGAGCGCGCAGGCGGUCGUGCAAGUCGCGUGUGAAAGCCCCCGGCUCAACUGGGGAGGGUCACGCGAUACUGCUCGACUCGAAGGCAGGAGAGGGAAGUGGAAUUCCCGGUGUAGUGGUGGAAUGCGUAGAUAUCGGGAGGAACACCAGUGGCGAAGGCGACUUCCUGGCCUGUUCUUGACGCUGAGGCGCGAAAGCUAGGGUAGCAAACGGG
rnacentral:rRNA from 1 species